rnacentral:rRNA from 1 species
GUAGGUGGCAAGCGUUGUCCGGAAUUAUUGGGGCGUAAAGCGCGCGCAGGCGGUUCUUUAAGUCUGAUGUGAAAGCCCACGGGCUCAACCGUGGAGGGUCAUUGGAAACUGGAGAACUUGAGUACAGAAGAGGAAAGCGGAAUUCCACGUGUAGCGGUGAAAUGCGUAGAGAUGCGGAGGAACACCAGUGGCGAAGGCGGCUUUCUGGUCUGUAACUGACGCUGAGGCGCGAAAGCGUGGGGAGCAAACAGGAUUAGAUACCCUGGUAGUCCACGCCGUAAACGAUGAGUGCUAAGUGUUAGGGGGUUUCCGCCCCUUAGUGCUGCAGCUAACGCAUUAAGCACUCCGCCUGGGGAGUACGGCUGCAAGGCUG